rnacentral:rRNA from 1 species
UACGGGGGGAGCAAGCGUUGUUCGGAUUUACUGGGCGUAAAGGGCGCGUAGGCGGCCACUGCAAGUCGGUUGUGAAAUCUCCGGGCUUAACUCGGAAAGGUCAAUCGAUACUGCAGGGCUAGAGUGCAGAAGGGGCAACUGGAAUUCUCGGUGUAGCGGUGAAAUGCGUAGAUAUCGAGAGGAACACCAGUGGCGAAGGCGGCUUCCUGGCCUGUUCUUGACGCUGAGGCGCGAAAGCUAGGGUAGCAAACGGG